rnacentral:rRNA from 1 species
UACGGGAGGCAGCAGGGGGAAUAUUGCACAAUGGGCGCAAGCCUGAUGCAGCCAUGCCGCGUGUAUGAAGAAGGCCUUCGGGUUGUAAAGUACUUUCAGUCGUGAGGAAGGUGUUAAGGUUAAUAACCUUAGCAAUUGACGUUAGCGACAGAAGAAGCACCGGCUAACUCCGUGCCAGCAGCCGCGGUAAUACGGAGGGUGCGAGCGUUAAUCGGAAUUACUGGGCGUAAAGGGCACGCAGGCGGUUAAUUAAGUUGGAUGUGAAAUCCCCGGGCUUAACCUGGGAAUGGCAUUCAAGACUGGUUAGCUAGAGUCUUGUAGAGGGGGUAGAAUUCCAUGUGUAGCGGUGAAAUGCGUAGAGAUGUGGAGGAAUACCGGUGGCGAAGGCGGCCCCUGGACAAAGACUGACGCUCAUGUGCGAAAGCGUGGGGAGCAAA